rnacentral:rRNA from 1 species
AUUGAACGCUGGCGGCAUGCCUUACACAUGCAAGUCGAGCGGCAGCGCGGGGGCAACCCUGGCGGCGAGCGGCGGACGGGUGAGUAAUACAUCGGAACGUGUCCUUUCGUGGGGGAGUAGCCAGUCGAAGACUGGCUAAUACCGCAUGAGAUCUCACGAUGAAAGCGAGGGACCGCAACGGCCGUCGCGCGAUUGGAGCGGCCGAUGUCGGAUUAGCUAGUU